GUCUAGGGCCAUGCCACUCUGAACGUGCCCGAUCUCGUCUGAUCUCGGACGCUAAGCAGUGUUGGGCCUGGUUAGUACCUGGAUGGGAGACCAGGUGCUGUAGACA
rnacentral:rRNA from 1 species